UACGUAGGGGGCAAGCGUUGUCCGGAAUCGUUGGGCGUAAAGAGCGUGUAGGCGGCCAGAUAAGUCCGCUGUGAAAUCUCGAGGCUCAACUUCGAGCUGUCGGUGGAAACUGUCUGGCUAGAGUCCGGAAGAGGAGAAUGGAAUUCCUGGUGUAGCGGUGAAAUGCGCAGAUAUCAGGAAGAACACCCGUGGCGAAGGCGGUUCUCUGGGGCGGUACUGACGCUGAGACGCGAAAGCGUGGGGAGCGAACAGG
rnacentral:rRNA from 1 species